GUAGGUUACGUCCUGCAUUGGAGCCUUGUAAUGUAGGACGUAGGAAGAGUCAUUGGUAAGAACAAGGGGUGUGGUUAGUGUCACAUGAUCUGCUGAUGUCAGACACAACUCACUGCCCUAAGGCAUGAUGGGACAGCAGUCACAUGACCAACCAGGGAGUAGGAUUCAAGCAUGGGGGGUAAGAGAAAACAGCAAAUGAGGUAAAUGGUAAUUGAUGAAAAUACAUUAGAAUGAAAAGCAGUGUAUGGCACAACCACUUUGAGGAUACUGGCCAUAUGGGAUCCGUGCCUCAGAGAAGGGGUGGUUAGUGUUGUUCCUGGUGUUCUCAGCAUGUUUGUGUAUGUUCAGCGUACUCCUGUGGCUUCUACAACCUGAAACAUCUGCACAUUUCACAGACGGUAUUAAAGUAGUGCUUAGGAAUGCGGUGCAAAAGUGAACCGUAACAUGCUCAUCAAACAUCCUUAAAGGGGCUGUCCGUUUUCAGGAGGAAACCAGACAACCCUCAGGAACCAACAGCAAUAAAGACUUGGUCAGUACAUGACAGUUCCGGAAGAUCCCAAGGGCCAUCAGACAACCCCUUAAAUUCUGUAAAUUUACAAGACUGAGGACAUGCAAAACACAAAGCAGCGACCACGGAGAUAAAGAACGUUUCUGGACUUCCUGAACUAUACAUAAUAUAUCUUUGUGUUACCUCAAAUCGAUAGCUGUGUGGACAAAUACACUAUGGAUUUAGACGGUUGUUUUCUGAAGGACUCAUUCAUCGACUGUCUGUAAAUGUUCUUGUUUUAAACAACGACAGAAGUUAAACUGACAUCUCCAGAGAUAUGCGACUACUCAAUGACAACACCCGACAACGACCAAAAAAAACAACCCAACACAGCAAAUCCAAAUUUUUGAUGGAGAUCUGCCUUUCACCUGCCAUAAAAAGGUUGCAA